rnacentral:rRNA from 1 species
AACUAACGCUGGCGGCGUGCCUAACACAUGCAAGUCGUGCGAGAAAGCCGGCUUCGGCUGGUGAGUAAAGUGGCGCACGGGUGAGUAACGCGUGGAUAAUCUGCCCUUAAGUGUGGAAUAACGUACCGAAAGGUGCGCUAAUACCGCAUAAUGCCUGGCAACACAAGUUGUCCGGCCAAAGAAGGCCUCUGUUUACAAGCUUUCGCUUCAGGAUGAGUCCGCGUACCAUUAGCUUGUUGGUGGGGUAAUGGCCUACCAAGGCUGCGAUGGUUAGCUGGUCUGAGAGGAUGAUCAGCCACACUGGAACUGAGACACGGUCCAGACUCCUACGGGAGGCAGCAGUGAGGAAUAUUGCGCAAUGGGGGCAACCCUGACGCAGCAACGCCGCGUGAGUGAGGAAGGUUUUCGGACUGUAAAGCUCUGUCGAGCGGGAAGAAGUGUACCAUGGCUAAUAUCCAUGAUAUUUGACGGUACCGCUAGAGG